rnacentral:rRNA from 1 species
GGUUAAGCGACUAAGCGUACACGGUGGAUGCCCUGGCAGUCAGAGGCGAUGAAGGACGUGCUAAUCUGCGAAAAGCGUCGGUAAGGUGAUAUGAACCGUUAUAACCGGCGAUGUCCGAAUGGGGAAACCCAGUGUGAUUCGUCACACUAUCGUUAACUGAAUACAUAGGUUAACGAGGCGAACCGGGGGAACUGAAACAUCUAAGUACCCCGAGGAAAAGAAAUCAACCGAGAUUCCCCCAGUAGCGGCGAGCGAACGGGGAGCAGCCCAGAGUCUGAAUCAGCUUGUGUGUUAGUGGAACGGUCUGGAAAGUCCGACGGUACAGGGUGAUAGUCCCGUACACCAAAAUGCACAGGCUGUGAACUCGAAGAGUAGGGCGGGACACGUGGUAUCCUGUCUGAAUAUGGGGGGGGGGACCAUCCUCCAAGGCUAAAUACUCCUGACUGACCGAUAGUGAACCAGUACCGUGAGGGAAAGGCGAAAAGAACCCCGGCGAGGGGAGUGAAAAAGAACCUGAAACCGUGUACGUACAAGCAGUGGGAGCACCUUCGGGUGUGACUGCGUACCUUUUGUAUAAUGGGUCAGCGACUUAUAUUCUGUAGCAAGGUUAACCGUAUAGGGGAGCCGCAGGGAAACCGAGUCUUAACUGGGCGUUAAGUUGCAGGGUAUAGACCCGAAACCCGGUGAUCUAGCCAUGGGCAGGUUGAAGGUUGGGUAACACUAACUGGAGGACCGAACCGACUAAUGUUGAAAAAUUAGCGGAUGACUUGUGGCUGGGGGGUGAAAGGCCAAUCAAACCGGGAGAUAGCUGGUUCUCCCCGAAAGCUAUUUAGGUAGCGCCUCGUGAACUCAUCUUCGGGGGUAGAGCACUGUUUCGGCUAGGGGGUCAUCCCGACUUACCAACCCGAUGCAAACUACGAAUACCGAAGAAUGUUAUCACGGGAGACACACGGCGGGUGCUAACGUCCGUCGUGAAGAGGGAAACAACCCAGACCGCCAGCUAAGGUCCCAAAGUCAUGGUUAAGUGGGAAACGAUGUGGGAAGGCACAGACAGCCAGGAUGUUGGCUUAGAAGCAGCCAUCAUUUAAAGAAAGCGUAAUAGCUCACUGGUCGAGUCGGCCUGCGCGGAAGAUGUAACGGGGCUAAACCAUGCACCGAAGCUGCGGCAGCGACACUAUGUGUUGUUGGGUAGGGGAGCGUUCUGUAAGCCUGCGAAGGUGACCUGUGAGGGUUGCUGGAGGUAUCAGAAGUGCGAAUGCUGACAUAAGUAACGAUAAAGCGGGUGAAAAGCCCGCUCGCCGGAAGACCAAGGGUUCCUGUCCAACGUUAAUCGGGGCAGGGUGAGUCGACCCCUAAGGCGAGGCCGAAAGGCGUAGUCGAUGGGAAACAGGUUAAUAUUCCUGUACUUGGUGUUACUGCGAAGGGGGGACGGAGAAGGCUAUGUUAGCCGGGCGACGGUUGUCCCGGUUUAAGCAUGUAGGCUGGUUAUCCAGGCAAAUCCGGAUAAUCAAGGCUGAGGUGUGAUGACGAGGCACUACGGUGCUGAAGUAACAAAUGCCCUGCUUCCAGGAAAAGCCUCUAAGCAUCAGGUAACAUCAAAUCGUACCCCAAACCGACACAGGUGGUCAGGUAGAGAAUACCAAGGCGCUUGAGAGAACUCGGGUGAAGGAACUAGGCAAAAUGGUGCCGUAACUUCGGGAGAAGGCACGCUGGUGUGUAGGUGAAGUCCCCUGCGGGUGGAGCUGAGACCAGUCGAAGAUACCAGCUGGCUGCAACUGUUUAUUAAAAAACACAGCACUGUGCAAACACGAAAGUGGACGUAUACGGUGUGACGCCUGCCCGGUGCCGGAAGGUUAAUUGAUGGGGUUAUCCGUAAGGAGAAGCUCUUGAUCGAAGCCCCGGUAAACGGCGGCCGUAACUAUAACGGUCCUAAGGUAGCGAAAUUCCUUGUCGGGUAAGUUCCGACCUGCACGAAUGGCGUAAUGAUGGCCAGGCUGUCUCCACCCGAGACUCAGUGAAAUUGAACUCGCUGUGAAGAUGCAGUGUACCCGCGGCAAGACGGAAAGACCCCGUGAACCUUUACUAUAGCUUGACACUGAACAUUGAGCCUUGAUGUGUAGGAUAGGUGGGAGGCUUUGAAGCGUGGACGCCAGUCUGCGUGGAGCCAACCUUGAAAUACCACCCUUUAAUGUUUGAUGUUCUAACGUUGGCCCCUUACCGGGGUUGCGGACAGUGUCUGGUGGGUAGUUUGACUGGGGCGGUCUCCUCCCAAAGCGUAACGGAGGAGCACGAAGGUUAGCUAAUCCUGGUCGGACAUCAGGAGGUUAGUGCAAUGGCAUAAGCUAGCUUGACUGCGAGCGUGACGGCGCGAGCAGGUGCGAAAGCAGGUCAUAGUGAUCCGGUGGUUCUGAAUGGAAGGGCCAUCGCUCAACGGAUAAAAGGUACUCCGGGGAUAACAGGCUGAUACCGCCCAAGAGUUCAUAUCGACGGCGGUGUUUGGCACCUCGAUGUCGGCUCAUCACAUCCUGGGGCUGAAGUAGGUCCCAAGGGUAUGGCUGUUCGCCAUUUAAAGUGGUACGCGAGCUGGGUUUAGAACGUCGUGAGACAGUUCGGUCCCCUAUCUGCCGUGGGCGCUGGAGAAUUGAGGGGGGGCUGCUCCUAGUACGAGAGGACCGGAGUGGACGCAUCACUGGUGUUCGGGUUGUCAUGCCAAUGGCACUGCCCGGUAGCUAAAUGCGGAAGAGAUAAGUGCUGAAAGCAUCUAAGCACGAAACUUGCCCCGAGAUGAGUUCUCCCUGAGACUUUAAGUCUCCUGAAGGAACGUUGAAGACGACGACGUUGAUAGGCCGGGUGUGUAAGCGCAGCGAUGCGUUGAGCUAACCGGUACUAAUGAACCGUGAGGCUUAACCUU